rnacentral:rRNA from 1 species
UACGAAGGGGGCUAGCGUUGUUCGGAAUUACUGGGCGUAAAGGGCGCGUAGGCGGUGUGUCAAGUCAGGCGUGAAAGCCCCGGGCUCAACCUGGGAACCGCGCUUGAGACUGGCACGCUAGAGUUCGGGAGAGGAUGGUGAAUUCCCAGUGUAGAGGUGAAAUUCGUAGAUAUUGGGAAGAACACCGAUGGCGAAGGCAGCCAUCUGGACCGACACUGACGCUGAGGCGCGAAAGCGUGGGGAGCAAACAGG